rnacentral:ncRNA from 1 species
AACGUCCUUAUCGAGGGUAGUAUUGAUGUGAUCAAUGAACGUUUAGUGAGGUCCGUCGUGCUAACACCCUUACUUACAGCAUCUAAACCUACUCGAGAAAUUGGGUAGGUAAUUUUUGGAAAC